AGGUCUAAUGGAAGAAAUCAUACAAAUGAAAUAGCAAUAAUGUUAGGUAAGGUGUGGGGGAUGUCCAGCCUCCUUCUCUGUUCAAUUUAUACUCCUCCAGUGUCCUCACAUAAUAAAUCUAUUUAAAUGAAGUCAAUAUAUUACUAUAUCUUCUGGACCAAAUGGUGUCCAUGUUAUGAAUAUUGAUAUGCAAUAGCAUGUCCUUAAUCCCUAAUCAAAAUUCCAUGUAUAGUAUCUUCUAAAAAAUAAAAAUAGCAGAAUCUUUGUCGCAAUGUUUUGUAGUUUCAUUUAUCAGAGACAAUACUGCUUGAAAGUAUUCUAACUCCACUGAGGGUGAAUCUUAUAUCUUAUAUUUACUAAUUGGAUGCACCAUACGAGCUUCCAUAUUAAUUCACAUCAUUAAAGAUAUUUUAACAUUUGGAUCUAUAUAAUUGAGCUAUCUUAGCCCUAUGUUUAACGUUACUGUUGUAAGAAAUACAAAAGACCCAAACAGGCCCAAGUUACAUGUAAACCUGACCCUCAACCAGGUAUAUAUAUAUCUACAAAAUAAAAAACUAAGAUCCAAUCAUUUGCAAUAUAAAUAAAAAAACUGACCUAACUACGUUAGUCCCAUCUAAAUGACUUUCAAGAAGUUCAGGUCUGAUCUUUGAUGUGAUCAACAAAAAAAAGGUCUGAUCUUUGAUCAGACAAUUUUUUUUAUAAUCUAUGGAUUUUAGGAUCCCAGUUAAGUGUACAUCUCAAUCUAAAAUACUUGCCUUACUUCACCAAACUUCCACGUUCUAUAACCUAGCCGCCAACCUUUCUCUUCUAAUUCAUGGAGCUAAUCACGUCCUCUAACCUGGCCAGCAUCCAACUUCCUGAUCUUGGUGAAGGCCGGCCAUACUCAGGUACAUCUUCCAUCUGCUUUGCCAUGACACUUCAUGCCUCUUUUAGAAGAAAAAUAUUCUUCUGUCACUGCCUGCAGUGUCCGUUAGUGAUGAGGGUUCCAAUCCUGGCAUCUAUCCAAUCCUUUGCCUAGAUAGUUAAAGCAACGCACGAAUGCCACGCUGCCACCGUUGUCGAUGAGACAUGGUGUGUUUCAUCGAUCGUUCUGUGCAUCUGCUCAUCUGCAAAUUACAACGGUAAGAAUUCAACCUGAAAUCCUCUCAGCACAUGUCACUUUGACUUGCAGGCCUGCAGCAGCAACAGCGACCACAGCUGGCCUCCCGGAGUCGUCAAUGACUGCAACAUCGUCCACAUGCACGACCUUACCAUCAUUUUAUCCUCUAUUUAUGAGGAACCUAAUACGUUGAAUAUUUUCAGUGAGGUCUGCCGGCCGGUACUUUUCUCAGUGUAUCAAAUACCCGUACGUGGUGGAUUGAUACCGUAGAGAUGUUCAAGUACAUCAUAUUGCAUUCAAGGCUGCUGGAUGCAUGGAUCGAUUCUGAAAUAACAAAGGACGCACGUACGGUCCUAUUUUUUCUUGCACCCCCUCAGCUUUGUGUAGUUAAUGCCAAACGCACACUGUCACUGUUGUGUAUUCUUCUUGCUUUGCUGACUCUUUUCCGGUUGUAUUCACUGCAUGCACAUCACUACAUCAGCACAGUCAAUUUGCAAUCUUAUUGCAUGUGACGCAUGCACCAUGCAGCCUUAUAAGAUGGAUGGAGUCAUGGAAGAUUGCCUUAUUCACAUAAGAAGAAAGCCUAGAGCCAUCUAAAGUCACGAGAUUGGUAUAUUUCUUUUGGCUACUUCAUCUAUUCCUAAUGCUAUCUAGCAAGUUAAUUUUAGAGGAGCUUCAUUUGGACGCAUACAGUAAAAAUCUAAAUCAUAUAUUCCUAAUGCUAUCUAGCAAGUCAAUUUUAGAUUACUUAUGGACCCUAAACUGAAAGUGUAAUAUUAUUUGUGACAUCUUUUUAUGCCAAUAGUACUACUUAAUUUACCAAGUAUUCUUCAUUCUCCAAUAUUAUGAUACUUUGCUUAUUCUCCAAAUUAUGUAUGUACCAUGCUCAUGAGAUAUAAAUAUGUUUUACUAUUGUUUAAAGUUAAUCAACUAAUGAUGUUUUUAAUGAUAUCCAAUGAACGUUUACCCAUCAUAUAGUACAAUAGAAGACAAAUGAUAUGCUUACUUUCAGGUAUACAAAAUAUGUGGACUAAGUGUAAAUUGGAUUACCGCCUCAUGUUUCUAAAGUCUCUGUUUAGAGCUAUUUGAAAUAAACAAUUAACAUAUAUUUUUUGAGUCAUGUCCAUGGAAACCUAAUUAGUUGUCAUGUGUUUUUACAACAAUACAUAUCAUUUUCCGGUGUUACAAGUUACUUUCCUGACUUUUGUAGUAUGUUUCGAUAUAUUUCUAGAUGUUUUAAUUGUUAUGUGCAAAUAAUCUUAUAAAAUAUUAAUCUAUGGGUUACAUUAUAUAUAAUUUGUUUAUGUUACAUACAUGUAACAUGUGAAGUGAAAUAUAAAAAUAUUAGAAUAUAAUAUGUCAUCUAACUAGCCCGUGCGGAUGCAUGGGUUGACGAUUUUAACCAGAAGUCUUGCGCUGCAGGAUUCCUAGCCCACCACAGCGUCUCUUCAACCCUGAACCAGUUUAUGCUGCGCCUCUGCAACCUUAUUGGUCACCGUAGUCCAUGCAACAGCUAUCAUGAGGGCCUAUUGUCGUUACCGCGCAGCCCACGUUUAUCUGCUUGCUGCUAUUUCUGCUAUCGCUGAAACCAACCAGGAGUUACUGGCCUUAAGGCACCAAGGUAAAUUCUUAAUGUUCUUCUAUUUUUGUUUAUUCACAUAACAUAGUUAGAUUCUUUUAUUGUGCCUUGCUAAAAUCCACUUGAGCCAGUAAACCUUUUAAACUUGUUGCUCCUAAUUAAUUACUUUUAAAUAUGCAUGUGUGAUCUCUUAAANUAUGAUAUUGUAUUAUUAUAAUUGAGACUUGUUUAACUUUUGUAGGAAGCAAAGAAAAGGACAACACUCAAACAAAAGGAGAACACUCACAAGGAACCAUGAAGCCAGCGAUCCGUGUCACCUGGAUAUUUAGCCUUUAUUUUUUACAACACAUGUCUCAUACUAGCAUCUUUUAGCUGUCAUUUUUGUGAACCUGAUGUAUGGUGUCCUGGUGGUUAUGCUUGGAACAGAGUGUAUGUGAAAUUAAUUAAUGGNNN
rnacentral:lncRNA from 1 species